rfam:Ipomoea nil DNA, scaffold: scaffold1959, cultivar: Tokyo-kokei standard.
UACCUGUUGAUCCUGCAGUAUCAUAUGCUUGUCUCAAAGAUUAAGCCAUGCAUGUAAGUAUGAACUAAUUCAGACUGUGAAACUGCGAAUGGCUCAUUAAAUCAGUUAUAGUUGUUUGAUGUACCUACUACUCGAUAACCGUAGUAAUUCUAGAGCUAAUACGUGCAACAAACCCCGACUUCUGAAGGAUGCAUUUAUUAGAUAAAAGUCGACGCGGGCUCUGCCCGUUGCUGCGAUGAUUCAUGAUAACUCGACGGAUCGCACGGCCUUAGCGCCGGCGACGCAUCAUUCAAAUUCUGCCCUAUCAACUUUCGAUGGUAGGAUAGUGCCUACCAUGGUGUGACGGUGACGGAAUUAGGGUUCGAUUCCGGAGAGGAGCCUGAGAAACGCUACCACAUCCAAGAAGGCAGCGCGCAAAUUACCCAAUCCUGACACGGGAGUAUGACAAUAAAUAACAAUACCGGGCUCGAUCGAGUCUGUAAUUGGAAUGAGUACAAUCUAAAUCCCUUAACGAGAUCCAUUGGAGGCAAGUCUGUGCCAGCACCGCGGUAAUUCCAGCUCCAAUAGCGUAUAUUAAGUUGUUGCAGUUAAAAAGCUCGUAGUUGACUUUGGAUGGCCGCCGGUCCGCCCACGGUGCACCGUCGUCUCGUCCCUUCUGCCGCGAUGCCUCCUGCCUUAAUUGCCGGUCGUGCCUCCGCGCUGUACUUUGAAGAAAUUAGAUGCUCAAAGCAAGCCUACCUCUGAUACAUUAGCAUGGAUAACAUUAUAGAUUUCGUCCUAUUACUUGCCUUCGGGAUCGAGUAAUGAUAACAGGGACAGUCGGGCAUUCGUAUUCAUAGUCAGAGGUGAAAUUCUUGAUUUAUGAAAGACGAACAACUGCGAAAGCAUUUGCCAAGGAUUUUUCAUUAAUCAAGAACGAAAGUUGGGGCUCGAAGACGAUCAGAUACCGUCCUAGUCUCAACCAUAAACGAUGCCGACCAGGGAUCGGCGGAUGUGCUUUAGGACUCCGCCGCACCUUAUAGAAAUCAAAGUCUUUGGUUCCGGGGAUAUGUCGCAAGGCUGAAACUUAAAGGAAUUGACGGAAGGCACCACCAGGAGUGGAGCCUGCGGCUUAAUUUGACUCAACACGGGAAACUUACCAGGUCCAGACAUAGUAAGAUUGACAGACUGAGAGCUCUUUCGAGAUUCUAUGGGUGGUGUGCAUGGCCGUUCUUAGUUGUGAGCGAUUUGUCUGUUAAUUCCGUUAACGAACGAGACCUCAGCCUGCUAACUAGCUAUCGGAGUAUCCCUCCGCGCCAGCUUCUUAAGGGACUACGCCUUUCAAGCCGCGAAGUUUGAGGCAAUAACAGUCUGUGAUCCCUUAGAUGUUCUGGCCGCACCGCGCUACACUGAUGUAUUCAACGAGCAUAUAGCCUUGGCCGACAGGCCCGGUAAUCUUUGAAAUUUCAUCGUGAUGGGAUAGAUCAUUGCAAUUGUUGUCUUCAACGAGGAAUCCUAGUAACGCGAGUCAUCAGCUCGCGUUGACUACGUCCCUGCCCUUUACACACCGCCCGUCGCUCCUACCGAUUGAAUGAUCCGGUGAAGUUCGAUCGCGGCGACGUGGCGUUCGCUGCCCGCGACUCGCGAGAAGUCCACUGAACCUUAUCAUUUAGAAGGAGAAGUCGUAACAAGGUUCCGUAGUGAACCUGCGAAGAUCAUUG